rnacentral:rRNA from 1 species
GACGAACGCUGGCGGCGUGCCUAAUACAUGCAAGUAGAACGCUGAAGGAGGAGCUUGCUUCUCCGGAUGAGUUGCGAACGGGUGAGUAACGCGUAGGUAACCUGCCUGGUAGCGGGGGAUAACUAUUGGAAACGAUAGCUAAUACCGCAUAAGAGUAGAUGUUGCAUGACAUUUGCUUAAAAGGUGCAAUUGCAUCACUACCAGAUGGACCUGCGUUGUAUUAGCUAGUUGGUGGGGUAACGGCUCACCAAGGCGACGAUACAUAGCCGACCUGAGAGGGUGAUCGGCCACACUGGGACUGAGACACGGCCCAGACUCCUACGGGAGGCAGCAGUAGGGAAUCUUCGGCAAUGGACGGAAGUCCGACCGAGCAACGCCGCGUGAGUGAAGAAGGUUUUCGGAUCGUAAAGCUCUGUUGUAAGAGAAGAACGAGUGUGAGAGUGGAAAGUUCACACUG